GAUGAAGAACGUAGCGAACUGCGAUAAGUAAUGCGAAUUGCAGAAUUCAGUGAGUCAUCGAAUCUUUGAACGCACAUUGCGCCCUGUGGUAUUCCGCAGGGCAUGCCUGUUCGAGCGUCAUUUCAACCCUCAAGCUCUGCUUGGUGUUGGGCCCUGCCCGCUGCGGCCGGCCCUAAAGACAGUGGCGGUGCCGCCUGGCCCUGAGCGUAGUACAUCUCUCGCUCCAGUGCCCGGUGGUAGCCUGCCAGAACCCCAACUCUCGUGGUUGACCUCGGAUCAGGUAGGGAUACCCGCUGAACUUGAGCAUAUCAAUAAGCGGAGGA
rnacentral:misc_RNA from 1 species